CUGUCAGCAGAAAAGAGAAAAAGGAGGUCCCGAGCGUUGUUCGGAUUCACUGGGUGUAAAGGGCGCGUAGGUGGUUGUCUGUGUCUCAUGUGAAAACUCAGGGCUCAACUCUGAGAUUGCGUGGGAAACUAGGCAGCUAGAGGACGGUAGAGGGGAGUGGAAUUCCCGGUGUAGCGGUAAAAUGCGUAGAUAUCGGGAGGAACACCGGUGGCGAAGGCGGCUCUCUGGGCCGAUCCUGACGCUGAGGCGCGAAAGCUAGGGGAGCGAACCGGAUUAGAUACCCGGGUAGUCCUAGCCGUAAACGAUGGGUGCUAGGUGUUGGGGGGUAAAGACCCUUCAGUGCCGAAGCUAACGCGAUAAGCAUCCCACCUGGGGAGUACGGCCGCAAGGUUGAAACUUAAAUGAAUUGACGG
rnacentral:rRNA from 1 species